rnacentral:rRNA from 1 species
UACCUGCAGCUCGAGUGGUAACCGCUUUUAUUGGGCCUAAAGCGUCCGUAGCCGGUUUGGUAAAUAUCUGGGUAAAUCGUGAGGCUUAACUUCACGAAUUUCGGAUAGACUGCCAGACUUGGGAUCGGGGGAGGUCAGAGGUACUCCAGGGGUAGCGGUGAAAUGUUGUAAUCCUUGGAGGACCACCGGUAGCGAAGGCGUCUGACUAGAACGAGUCCGACGGUGAGGGACGAAGCCCUGGGGCGCAAACCGGAUUAGAUACCCGGGUAGUCCAGGGUGUAAACAAUGUGGGCUUUGUAUUGGGGGUCCCACGUGGGCGUCCAGUGCAGAAGAGAAGUUGUUAAGCCCACCGCCUGGGAAGUACGGUCGCAAGGCUGAAACUUAAAGGAAUUGGCGGGGAGCACAGCAACGGGUGGAGCGUGCGGUUU